rnacentral:rRNA from 1 species
UACGGAGGGUGCAAGCGUUAUCCGGAAUCACUGGGUUUAAAGGGUGCGUAGGCGGCUUGGUAAGUCAGAGGUGAAAGCUUCCCGCUCAACGGGGGAACUGCCUUUGAUACUGCCAGGCUCGAAUUGGGUUGAGGCCGGCGGAAUGUGGCAUGUAGCGGUGAAAUGCUUAGAUAUGCCAUAGAACACCGAUUGCGAAGGCAGCCGGCCAAGCCUUGAUUGACGCUGAGGCACGAAAGCGUGGGGAGCGAACAGG